rnacentral:hammerhead_ribozyme from 1 species
AUCCAGCUGACGAGUCCCGAAUAGGACGAAACGCGCGUCGGAU